GUGGGGAAUAUUGGACAAUGGGCGCAAGCCUGAUCCAGCAAUGCCGCGUGGGUGAAGAAGGUCUUCGGAUCGUAAAGCCCUUUCGACAGGGACGAUGAUGACGGUACCUGUAGAAGAAGCCCCGGCUAACUUCGUGCCAGCAGCCGCGGUAAUACGAAGGGGGCUAGCGUUACUCGGAAUUACUGGGCGUAAAGGGCGCGUAGGCGGCUCUGAUAGUCAGGCGUGAAAUUCCUGGGCUUAACCUGGGGACUGCGAUUGAUACUGCAGGGCUUGAGGACGAGAGAGGGUGGUGGAAUUCCCAGGGUAGAAGUGAAAUUCGUAGAUAUUGGGAAGAACACCGGUGGCGAAGGCGACCACCUGGCUCGGUUCUAACGCUGAGGCGCGACAGCGUGGGGAGCAAACAGGAUUAGAAACCCCAGUAGUCC
rnacentral:rRNA from 1 species